CAGUUGGGCACUCUAGGGAGACUGCCGGUGACAAACCGGAGGAAGGUGGGGAUGACGUCAAAUCAUCAUGCCCCUUAUGANUUGGGCUACACACGUGCUACAAUGGACGGUACAAAGGGCAGCGAGACCGCGAGGUGGAGCCAAUCCCAUAAAGCCGUUCCCAGUUCGGAUUGCAGUCUGCAACUCGCCUGCAUGAAGUCGGAAUCGCUAGUAAUCGCAGGUCAGCAUACUGCGGUGAAUACGUUCCCGGGUCUUGUACACACCGCCCGUCACACCAACGAGAGUUUGCNACACCCGAAGCCGGUGAGUAA
rnacentral:rRNA from 1 species